rnacentral:rRNA from 1 species
GUGGGGAAUAUUGGGCAAUGGGCGCAAGCCUGACCCAGCAACGCCGCGUGAAGGAAGAAGGCUUUCGGGUUGUAAACUUCUUUUACCAGGGACGAAAAAAAUGACGGUACCUGGAGAAUAAGCCACGGCUAACUACGUGCCAGCAGCCGCGGUAAUACGUAGGUGGCAAGCGUUGUCCGGAUUUACUGGGUGUAAAGGGCGCGUAGGCGGGAGAGCAAGUCAGGAGUGAAAUCUAUGGGCUUAACCCAUAAAUUGCUUUUGAAACUGUUUUUCUUGAGUGAUGGAGAGGCAAGCGGAAUUCCUAGUGUAGCGGUGAAAUGCGUAGAUAUUAGGAGGAACACCAGUGGCGAAGGCGGCUUGCUGGACAUUAACUGACGCUGAUGCGCGAAAGCGUGGGGAGCAAACAGGAUUAGAAACCCCAGUAGUCC